rnacentral:misc_RNA from 1 species
AAACCUCAACUCUCAUGGCUUGCCAUGAUGAGCUUGGACUCUGGGGGUCUUGCUGGCUUUACGGUCAGCUCCUCUCAAAUAAAUCAGCUUGCCGGUGUUUGGUGGGAUCACAGGUGUGAUAACUAUCUACGCUUGUGGUUUUCCGCCAGGUAACCUUCAGCAAUGGAGGUUCGCUGGAGCUCAUAAAUGUCUCUCCUCAGCGAGGAUGGCUCUUUGAAU